rnacentral:rRNA from 1 species
CGGAGGGUGCAAGCGUUAAUCGGAAUUACUGGGCGUAAAGCGCACGCAGGUGGCUGAGUCAGUCGAUUGUGAAAGCCCUGGCUCAACCUGGGAAUUGCAGUCGAUACUACUUAGCUAGAGUAUGGGAGAGGGCAGUGGGAUUCCCGGUGUAGCGGUGAAAUGCGUAGAUAUCGGGAGGAACAUCAGUGGCGAAGGCGGCUGCCUGGCCCAAUACUGACACUCAGGUGCGACAGCGUGGGGAGCAAACAGGAUUAGAUACCCUGGUAGUCCACGCCGUAAACGAUGAGAACUAGAUGUCGGGGGGGAUUAGCCCCUCGGUGCCGUAGCUAACGCGCUAAGUUCUCCGCCUGGGGAGUACGGCCGCAAGGUUG